rnacentral:rRNA from 1 species
CAUUACAGUAUUCUUUUCAGGCUGAAUUGGCAUUAAGCUUUCUGCUAUAGGAGUGCUGGGUGUUUACAGACUGCGCUGCUGAAAUAUUGCGUGCGCGGACUGUUGCCUGGUAUUCUGGAAAGUGAGACGUCUUUUCAUCAAGGCUUGAAAAACCUCCUUCUACACUUUGUUUUCUUAUUAGAGACAAAUUUGCUUUGGCUAGUAGCUGCGUAAAAACAGCGGUCUAGCCAGAGGUUUUCAAACAAAACUCUUGUUUUAAUAUUCUUUUCUUCACGGGGAAGAGUAUGGAACGUGAUAAUUUAUUAUAAUUUAGUCAUUAAAUUUAAGGACGCAAGUUCUAACUAAAAAAUUUAAAACUUUCAACAACGGAUCUCUUGGUUCUCGCAUCGAUGAAGAACGCAGCAAAAUGCGAUAAGUAAUGUGAAUUGCAGAUUUUCGUGAAUCAUUGAAUCUUUGAACGCACAUUGCGCCCUCUGGUAUUCCGGAGGGCAUGCCUGUUUGAGCGUCAUUUCCCUCUCAAACCCUUUUUUGGGUCUGGUGAUGAGUGAUACUGCUGGCUGGGUUUGUUUUACAGACCGAGCAGGCAGUUCAUUUGAAAUGCAUUGGCAUGAGUUUUUGUUUCACAAGCUAUAAUUGUUUAUUCAAUGUAUUAGGUUUUAUCCAUCGUUGUAGAAGCAGUUAGAGCGUGUGGCAAAGUUUUGGCUCUGCCUAACAAACUUUUUAUUUAAUCAUAAAGUUUGACCUCAAAUCAGGUAGGA